GAACAGUCAGUCAGUUCAAGAUGGCGAUUGACGUUCGGCUAUAAACUUGGCCGUUCUUUUAUGCGAAUUUGCAAGAACCGUGUCGCCCGUUUCUGCGCGGAAUUUAUAGUUAUAUAGAACACGAAGACGGCUACGAAAUCUUCGCGGAGUCGCGUAUAAUAUAAUUAAAGAUUGAUAGAGAGAGAGAGAGAUAGAGUGUGAUAGAAGAGAAAAGCACGAAAGUUUUCAGAAGUGAUUCUGAAUCUGUGACCUCUCCUCCGAUCGUGCACUUCACGGACGACAUCGACGACGACGUUCAGGAUAGAAGAAGACACAGGGGCCCAGGGGAGGAUAAGGUGUUUGUGUUUAUAUUUGCUGGUGAAUGUUGACUAGAGCCCAGCAGCAGCAGCAGCAGCAGCGGCCCCACACCAAGAAGGCCAACAGGAGCAACGGCGACGGCACCAGUGCCUCCUACAUCGGUGGGGGGAAACAUUCGUCGCAACGAGCAGCAACAGCGGACCAUGGAUCGCCCCCUGAAAUUAUAAACACGAAAUUUGUGUUACCCUUGAACCGAACGACGUGUCCCGUGUAAGCAGCGUUAAACGUGAAAUCAAGUGGAGAGAAGACCACACGAAAAUAGCCCGACCUUCGCCAAGACAAGCCGACCUAUCCAAGCGAUUAGUGGUGGUGUGGUAAAUGUUGUGUGUGUGUGUGUGUGUUGGAAGUGUAUCAUCGUACAACACGUUGGCUGUUGUUGUACGAAUAGGAGGGAGGAGACCUAGUCGAAAAGAAGAGAUGUUUAAUGUAAAACAUUAAGUUUAGAAUGAUUUAGAAUGAGAAAGAGAGAUAAGUGUAAUUGAUUUUUUAGUGAGAGUCGCCUCCGUUCGGUAGAGGUCACUAAAUAUUGACCUCGCUCGGGGAGGUUACACUGUGUUGCGUGUACGUACGUACAUAUGUGUAUGUAGUAAGUAUGAGCGAGUAUGUAAGUGCGCACGAAAUGUACACGAACGGACGAUAUAGAUGUAUCCACACAAUUCGAAUAUUUCUAUCUAUCUUUCAUUCAUUAAACUAUCAUUAUCAUCAUCUUAAUUGUAAAUUGUUUCAUCAUCUCGUAUCGUUUCUCCAUUGACUUUGAAUAUCUCGUUUUUUUUUUUCUUUUUCCUGAGAAUUGUGUGCGAAGAGGCCACCGGAGGAGAGCCAGCACAACCUUCUUCUCCUUUUCUCGACAUUCGAUCUGUUUUCGCGUUUCGUGUUCUCCUCAGAUUUCGGGGUUACCGCGAUCCGACCGACCAUAGAUCAAGUAUAAAAAAAGUAUGCGAGAGAGCGAGAGAGAGAGGCGAAAGGUUAUGCAUGCAUGGUAACUACGGCAAUGCGUAAGAAGGUGACACACACACACACGCAUAUUUUUGGUCUGAUCGUGUUUGUCUCUCUCUCUCUUUGCCUUCUUUAAGAUCUGCGUGUCGCCGCCCCCGAUGUCCGUGAAACGACGGCGGGCCGCACGUGUCGUUUCUUCCCUUCCCUAUUCUCUUCUCUCCACUUAUCCAAUCGCUCUUUUCCAUAUUCGAUAUAUUUAUACACACACAAUGUGUCGGUAUUAUUACGAGCGGCCGCACAUUUCCAAUGCACAAGGUGACGACAGUAGAUAGUUCACGUUUUCAUGGAAAUAGUGAUUAAGCUAACGCUAUUAAGUUUCCGUAGAUUAUCAAUCAAAGUUGUUGCUUGCGCGAUUCGUUGGGUCGUCGGUUUUAUGCAAAAAGGGCGUUAGUAGGAAAGGACGUGGCGUGGCGGUAAAGGGGUCGAGGGGGUGUCGCUAACGAUUUGCUUGCAGACCUACAAACCACCCCUCUCGUCGUCGUCGUCGGUGGUGGCGGCGGCGGAAGGUCCUUGCGCAGAGAGUGCAACCCUCUUCUCUCUUUCUCUCUCUCUAUUAUCAAGGACUCCUCGCAUGCGGCACCAGAGACCGGCGCCGUUGCCACGUACACACACAUCCGAAGAUGCUUCUGCAAAUUGUUUCAUUUAGAUGAAACCAUCCACCCACAUCUAACGGGACAUUCUAUGAACUCAUAUUCCACGCAUAUUUCCUCUUCAGACUGAUUUUGUUAACGGAACUCUUUCUUUCUUUCUUCAUCUACGUCGUCUUCUUAUUCUUCUCCUCGUGGCUCUUCUUCUAUCUACUCUUGAAAAAAAAAAGAGGACGGCGUCUCAUGUGGAACGAUUCCAAUCGGAUGUUGUUCGUCGCAUAACGGAGACUAUUCGCGUACAUUAAUUACUAACAAUAAUCUUCGAGCACUAUUUUCGGUCGUUUUCAUCCAUACUCUUGGGAAUUAGGUAAAAAUCGGUUUAAAAGUUUCGCCGUUUCAGUCGAUUUAAUAACAAUAACGCACACUACUUUCACAAGCAAUCUGCGAGCACACAUUUCGAUUCUGUUUAUUUCUAUUUUCCAUUCACGCCACUUUCCUUCCUCUCCGCGGAACUGCAAUUUCACAAUUUGCAAAACAAACACCUACAAAAUAAUGGAAAUGUAAUGUCUACCUACCUCCCUCCCUCCCAAAGUAAUUUGCUAUUUGUAAUUGUUGUUUGUGUUUUUUGAGAUGAUUGACGUCGUGACUCCAACGUUCACGUUGGGUUUUUGGGGUUGGUGGUCGUUGCUUGGAGUUUCGCAGAAAACGUUGGUAGCGAUUUCGGAGACGAUGUGGCAACAUGUGGAGUUGGAGGUGGAGGAGGAAGGCGCAGAGAGCGCGACGCGCGUCCGUCCGUUCGUUCCUUUGCACGGGGGCAAUCGUUGCGCUCCGAAGUUGCCGUCGUCACCGUCGUUUUACAGUCUGAAUCUAUCCGUCGCAGGCGAUAGUCGCGUGUGAAGUAACGGAACAGAGAGAGAGAAAGACAAACAGACAAAACAUUGUGUGCAAGCGAGACAGAAGCGCGAAAUCGGACGAGAUUUUUGUUAGAUGUUCAGUCAGUCAGUCAUUCAGUAUAGAAGGGAAUUCCCGUACGAGUAUAGAAGUAGUAUAUAAUAUAGACUAGUAGUGAGUAGUAGUGAAUUUAGUUAGUUGGUUGGCAAAAUAAAUUGAAGAAAUCCAAGACCAAGACCAACCCUGAUAAUAUUUGCCGACUCCUUUGGAACGGACGAGGAGCACUGUCCACACUAUCUUCUGCGGAGGUGCUUUUGCUGCUGCUGCUGCUGGAACAAAAGAGAAGAAAUAACAUCGUCGUCGUCGCCUUCUCCGAUAUAAUCGGAACUGGCACACUGGAUUUUAAAAUAGAGAGCAAACUGAGGGAAUCUAUAUUUGGAUUUACUAAUGUCAGAAUGGCUUUAGCCAGGUGAGUAAUCAAAAACGAUUUCUUCUUUUACUUUUUUAAUUUUGGAACGAUGAAAGGAAGAAGCUACUUACUGCUGGUACGAGCACGGUUAGGUGAGGAGAUUACACGCGAAAUAGAGAGAA